rnacentral:rRNA from 1 species
GACGAACGCUGGCGGCGUGCCUAACACAUGCAAGUCGAGCGGGGACAUAUUUGGAAGGUCUUCGGAUUGGAAGGAUAUGUUCUAGCGGCGGACGGGUGAGUAACGCGUGAACAAUCUGUCCCAGACAGGGGGAUAACAGAUGGAAACAUCUGCUAAUACCGCAUAAGACCACGUCCUCACAUGAGGGAGAGGUAAAAGGAGCAAUCCGGUUUGGGGUGAGUUCGCGUCCGAUUAGCUAGUUGGUGAGGUAACGGCCCACCAAGGCGACGAUCGGUAGCCGACCUGAGAGGGUGAUCGGCCACAUUGGAACUGAGACACGGCCCAG